ACGGGAGGCAGCAGUGGGGAAUCUUCCGCAAUGGACGAAAGUCUGACGGAGCAACGCCGCGUGAGUGAUGACGGCCUUCGGGUUGUAAAGCUCUGUUAAUCGGGACGAAAGGCCUUCUUGCGAAUAGUGAGAAGGAUUGACGGUACCGGAAUAGAAAGCCACGGCUAACUACGUGCCAGCAGCCGCGGUAAUACGUAGGUGGCAAGCGUUGUCCGGAAUUAUUGGGCGUAAAGCGCGCGCAGGCGGAUCAGUCAGUCUGUCUUAAAAGUUCGGGGCUUAACCCCGUGAUGGGAUGGAAACUGCUGAUCUAGAGUAUCGGAGAGGAAAGUGGAAUUCCUAGUGUAGCGGUGAAAUGCGUAGAUAUUAGGAAGAACACCAGUGGCGAAGGCGACUUUCUGGACGAAAACUGACGCUGAGGCGCGAAAGCCAGGGGAGCGAACGGGAUUAGAUACCCCGGUAGUCCUGGCCGUAAACGAUGGGUACUAGGUGUAGGAGGUAUCGACCCCUUCUGUGCCGGAGUUAACGCAAUAAGUACCCCGCCUGGGGAGUACGACCGCAAGGUUGAAACUCAAAGGAAUUGACGGGGGCCCGCACAAG
rnacentral:rRNA from 1 species